rnacentral:piRNA from 1 species
UAAAAGCAUAUUACAUGGAGGCAAGGGCCUU